UUUAACUUGGUGAAAUCUAUCACAUCGGACUUUCAAGCCGAAGACACUAAUUUAGUAGUUAAUG
rnacentral:tRNA from 1 species